GUAAGGAGUCUGGCUGGCGCAGCCUGGAGCACCGCUGACAAGCAAGCGGCGUGCAAGUGCAUCAAGAGCGCUGCCGAUGGGCUCAACGCUGGCAAGGCCGCCGGCAUCCCCUCCAAGUGCGGCGUCAGCGUCCCCUAUGCCAUCUGCGCCACCGUCGACUGCUCUAAGAUUCGCUGA
rnacentral:rRNA from 1 species